rnacentral:rRNA from 1 species
UUGACCUCGGAUCGGGUAGGGAUACCCGCUGAACUUAAGCAUAUCAAUAAGCGGAGGAAAAGAAACCAACAGGGAUUGCCUUAGUAACGGCGAGUGAAGCGGCAACAGCUCAAAUUUGAAAUCUGGCUCUUUCAGAGUCCGAGUUGUAAUUUGUAGAAGAUGCUUCGAGUGUGGUACCGGUCUAAGUUCCUUGGAACAGGACGUCAUAGAGGGUGAGAAUCCCCGUAUGUGACUGG